rnacentral:rRNA from 1 species
AAUAAUUAAACUCACAUGCGUAUAAUUUCACGAAGUAAAAUGAGCUAAAAGAAGUAAUGUAUUAGCAUCUCGGUUCUCUAUAUGUAGCAAUAUAUAGAUGUUAUUUUCUUUUAGGGGCGAUAUACCAUUCAAAUUUUACGAUAACUUGAUGUGUAGGAAAAAUAUGGAGUAUGAAAUCAGAUUUAAAAUGCUAAGGUUUUAAAAAGAUAUAAUGCCUUAUUAAUCAUUAGUAUAUUAUGUAAUUAUAUAUACUUAAAAAAAACAACAAUUAAUUUAUUUACUAUAUAUUUUUUACUAUGCUCUAGUGUAAAAUUUAAGCGACUAUCAAUAAUGUUAUUAUUAGUAUUAAAAUAAAUAUAUAGUAAAGGAACUCGGCAAAGACAUUAUUCAACUGUUUAUCAAAAACAUUGCCUUGAGGAAGUAUUCAAGGUUUAUCCUGCUCAAUGGUAAUAAUUAAAUAGCCGCAGUACCUUGACUGUGCAAAGGUAGCAUAAUCAUUUGGCUUAUAAUUGAAGUCUGGCAUGAAUGGGUUAAUGGAUAAUAACUGUCUCUCCAUAACAAUUAGAAUUUACUUAUUAAGUGAAAAUUCUUAUAAAGAAAAAAAAGACGAGAAGACCCUAGAAAUUUUUUAUACACAACAACAAUUGAUCUAUUUUGUUGGGGCGACAAGGUAGCAUUUAACCUACCUAAUAAUUAUAAAAAAUUAUUGAAAGAAAUAAUUAAAUUACUCUAGGGAUAACAGCAUAAUACAAAAGAGUUUGUGACCUCGAUGUUGGACUAGGUUAGUUAAUGUUUAGAAGAUGUUUUCAUAGGCUCUGUUCGAGCUUUUAUACCUACAUGAUCUGAGUUCAGACCGG